AAAGAAUUAGUUAAUUUAUAACAUUAAUAUGUCAAGUUAAAAUUAUUUAUCAAAAUAUUCUUUA
rnacentral:tRNA from 1 species